ACGUAGAAGGUAAGAAAAAAUCACAAAAAGCACCCUGUAUUAUUGCAUCAAUUUAUAUUGUUACUGGUAAGGAAUCGUUUCUGGAAAGUAAACGUAUACUUAUAUGG